CCAAAAAGGAUUUGGGAGCGUCCAGAGGAGUCGCUGUGGCCCCCCUGCCGGCCUGCAAACCCCAGCAGGCCACCUACAGGUAGGGGCCGCCUUGGGAGCCUUUUGGCCCCGAGGGGCACGACUCUGUACUGCUUUUCCAUCUUCCAACACCCUCACCCUUGAUUACUUAGCCUUGUUGCCUCGGCGGGUCCGCCCGCCAGAGGACACAACCAAAACUACUGUUGUCAACAGCGUGGUCUGAGCUAUAAAGCAAUUGUUA
rnacentral:misc_RNA from 1 species